AUACGUAGGGAGCGAGCGUUGUCCAGAAUUACUGGGUGUAAAGGGAGCGUAGGCGGGAGUGCAAGUCAGAUGUGAAAUACAUGGGCUCAACCCAUGGGCUGCAUUUGAAACUGCAUUUCUUGAGUGAAGUAGAGGUAAGCGGAAUUCCUGGUGUAGCGGUGAAAUGCGUAGAUAUCAGGAGGAACACCGGUGGCGAAGGCGGCUUACUGGGCUUUUACUGACGCUGAGGCUCGAAAGCGUGGGGAGCAAACAGGAUUAGAUACCCUGGUAGUCCACGCUGUAAACGAUGAUUACUAGGUGUGGGGGGACUGACCCCUUCCGUGCCGCAGUUAACACAAUAAGUAAUCCACCUGGGGAGUACGGCCGCAAGGUUGAAACUCAAAUGAAUUGACGGGG
rnacentral:rRNA from 1 species